UACGUAGGUGGCAAGCGUUGUUCGGAAUUAUUGGGCGUAAAGGGCUCGUAGGCGGCCAACUAAGUCCGACGUGAAAUCCCAAGGCUUAACCUUGGAACUGCGUCGGAUACUGGAUGGCUUGAAUUCGGGAGAGGGAUGCAGAAUUCCAGGUGUAGCGGUGAAAUGCGUAGAUAUCUGGAGGAAUACCGGUGGCGAAGGCGGCAUCCUGGACCGGCAUUGACGCUGAUGAGCGAAAGCUAGGGGAGCAAACGGG
rnacentral:rRNA from 1 species